rnacentral:rRNA from 1 species
UGUAUUUAUUAGAUAAAAAACCAAUGCCCUUCGGGGCUUUUUGGUGAUUCAUGAUAACUUUACGGAUCGCAUAGCCUUGCGCUGGCGACGGUUCAUUCAAAUUUCUGCCCUAUCAACUUUCGAUGUUUGGGUAUUGGCCAAACAUGGUUGCAACGGGUAACGGAGGGUUAGGGCUCGACCCCGGAGAAGGAGCCUGAGAAACGGCUACUACAUCCAAGGAAGGCAGCAGGCGCGCAAAUUACCCAAUCCCGACACGGGGAGGUAGUGACAAUAAAUACUGAUACAGGGCUCUUUUGGGUCUUGUAAUUGGAAUGAGUACAAUUUAAAUCCCUUAACGAGGAACAAUUGGAGGGCAAGUCUGGUGCCAGCAGCCGCGGUAAUUCCAGCUCCAAUAGCGUAUAUUAAAGUUGUUGUGGUUAAAAAGCUCGUAGUUGAACCUUGGGCCUGGCCGUCCGGUCCGCCUCACCGCGUGUACUGGCUCGGCCGGGCCUUUCCCUCUGUGGAACCCCAUGCCCUUCACUGGGCGUGGCGGGGAACCAGG